UACAGAGGUCUCAAGCGUUGUUCGGAUUUAUUGGGCGUAAAGGGCGCGUAGGCUGCGGGGUAAGUCGGGUGUGAAAUCUCAGAGCUCAACUCUGAAACUGCACUCGAUACUGCUCUGCUUGAGGACUGGAGAGGAGAUUGGAAUUCACGGUGUAGCAGUGAAAUGCGUAGAUAUCGUGAGGAAGACCAGUGGCGAAGGCGGAUCUCUGGACAGUUCCUGACGCUGAGGCGCGAAGGCCAGGGGAGCAAACGGG
rnacentral:rRNA from 1 species